UGGUUAGCAAAGCUCUUAAUAGCUGUUCCCAGAAUUAAAAGCCGAGGAGCUGAAAGUGCUUUACGGUAAAAGAUUGCGGGACACACGAGCCGACGAGCUCGAAUCUGCAGACAAGAUCAGCCGGCUCAUCCUCCUCACCAUACGCUCCAAAUCUUAUUGCUUUACUUUUAGGUUUAUUUUAAUCUCGCAUCUUUUUCACAUCUUGUGCUCCUUUACAUCCCCAAACUUUUCACUUUAUGUUCCAGUAACUACACGAAAUACGAUGCGAAGUAAUCGAGCUAGUGUUCAGUGUAAGUCUCAGGAGCGGACGUGUUUAGCCUAUUAACUUACUGACGCUUUAUUAAUCUCUUCUAAACUCAUUUUCUUCCCACAGUCAUUAUCUCAUUUUAUGUUUCUGACUCAUGGAUUAUUGUGUUUUAUUUCUGUGCAGCUCAUUAAGGUGUGUGUUACAUAAGAACACUGUGAUGUAUAGAAAUAAAUAGAAUAAUGGCUUUUUUUAAAAACUGUGUGGAAGACAAAUAAGCUAAUGAUCUCUCCAGAAUCGUACAGGUGAGGAAACACGGCUGCGUGCUGCUAAUGAAGGAGAAGAAAACAACAGAAAUGAGCAGAAAAGAAAUAAAAGAUGAAGGAAUAAGAGAAUAAAUGAAAAGAGAAGAGAACUGAGGAAGAAACUGAGGAAGAAACAAAAUAUGGACGAGGUCAGACGAGACAGAACGAGACAAGACGACAAAAGAUAAGAAGAGAAGAAGAAAAAAAUUAGAGAAGAACAGAAGAAGAUGAGACAAGACAAAAAAAGACAAGAAUUAGAAGAUGAAGAGAAGAAAGGAGAUGAGAAUAGAUGAGAUGAGAGUAAAUAAGACAUGAUAGAAAUAAGAGAAGAGAAAAGAAGAGAAGAGAAGAGAAGAGAAGAGGAGAAGAGAAUAAAGGAAGAGAAGAGAUUGGUAGAACACCUCUCCUCUCCUCUGCUGCUGUUCUUUCAGGGCGUGUGGUUCUCUGUGUCAGUAAAGUAGAACCUUGUCCUUGGAUAUGAGAGUCUGAGUGUCACCUUUCCACAGAGAACCCGUCUCAGCGCUCUGCUUCUGUUUCCCGAGCUGAAGGUUAAGAGUCUCGGAGCUCGCGGCAGUGAAAAGAGAAGGAGGUGUCUCCGCCUUCACCUCCGUAAGAGAGAACGCCUCCGUAAGUCAGAACGCCUCCGUAAGGGAGAACGCCUCCGUAAGAGAGAACGCCCCCGUAAGGGAGAACGCCUCCGUAAGUCAGAACGCCUCCGUUAGGGAGAACGUCUCCGUAAGAGAGAACGCCUCCGUAAGGGAGAACGCCUCCGUAAGAGAGAACGCCUCCGUAAGAGAGAACGCCUCCGUAAGAGAGAACGCCCCCGUAAGAGAGAACGCCUCCGUAAGAGAGAACGUCUCCGUAAGAGAGAACGCCUCCGUAAGGGAGAAUGCCUCUGUGCACUUGGUUCCUGAUAAAACUACAGCAAGAACAUGAAUAAUUAAAGAACGCUGAUGCUGAUGAACUCCUUCAGCUGUUUCUUCUCCGGCGAGUGUAAACAUAAAUCCACACAUACACACUGGUUUAAUAUAAACACCAGGUACUGAUUAAACAAUAUGAGCUAGCAUUAUCAUUAUUACAGUAACAGCUCACUAUCGUUUCUAUAGUAACAGCUAGUUAUCAUUAUCGUUUCUAUAGUAACAGCUCAGUAUCAUUUCUAUAGUAACAGCUCAGUACCGUUUCUAUAGUAACGGCUUGUUAUUGUUUCUGUAGUAUGACCUCAUUAUUGUUCCACUAAUAAUAAACAGAUUUUAAAAAAUGCUGAUAUGGUGAAGUUUUCUGUAAGGAGAUGUUGGAAGGAGUCUCCAGUGUCAGCACUUUGUAACAGUCAUACAGGUUUUUGAAAUCCAGGAUGAACCACGAACCGUCCCAAGAACCCACGAGGAACAUUUUAUUCCAAGAGUGUUAGCUACAUUUACGUUUAAGAGAUCUGUUCCUUUAAAUCUGUACAGUUCCAUUUACAGUAACGGAACCUGCAGUGAAAGUCAGUAUAACAGUGUGUGUGUGUGUGUGUGUGUGUGUGUGUGUGUGUGUGUGUAAGAGAGGACACACUCUCCAAAGCCAUUAGAAAGCUGUAAUUACGCACUACAAGGCCUCGGUUCUGCACAUUCUGCUCAUGCUAAUAUUUCUCAUUACUCAUCUGUGUUCUCGCUUCACCUCGCUGUUUGUACGCGCAGAACCCCGACGCCACCGGAUUAAUAAUCAUAAAGAUCCUCUAAACCUCCGUGAUAUUUCCCUCCUUCCUUUCCUAAAUUAUAAUUUAUAAGCCGCAUUUAUUUUUUGUCCUUUUCACAAAACACACACAAUCUGUUCUGUGCGUUUGUGUUUCAGCUAAAAAACAACUAAUGAAUUAAUUAGAAAGAGAGUUGAUGAUAAUGAAAGUGAAAAAAAUGCGUAUGAAGAUGAAGUCAUUCGCUUCUGGUUCGAGUGAUUAAAUGCAAAUAAAAGAAUAUUUGAAAGUAAUUGAGAAAAUAAUAAUAAUUUAUAACAUCCAUCAGCUAGGAGUAAUAACGAGAUCAUUAAAUCUGAUCCUUUAAUUUUAUACGGAAGAAUAAAAAAUUCAAAGCUAAUUUAACUCUCAAGUUUUUAUGCUUUUUUUAAUUUUAUUUUUUCUUUUAUUUUUUUGGUCUAUUUUUCCAGGAUGCCACAGCGUGACCAGAUUUCUAGUCGCUAUAGAAAAUUUAUUUAUUUAUUUAUUCAUUUAUUUAUUUAUUUAUUGUCUAUUGUUUGCUCCUUUCAUUUUGUUUUGGGUUAAAAAAUAAUAAAUAACAAAAAAUAGAACAAAAACAAAUGCACAUUUUUCUUUCUAAGGAAUUUGUUCUCUUUUUCUUUAUCCAUUACUCUGUUCAUUCUGGCUCUAGUGAUUAAACGCAAAUAAAAUAAUAUUUGAAAAUAAUUAUCAGUUGUUUGAGAAAAAAAAUAACAUCCAUCUUCUAGGAGAAAUAACGAGAUCAUUAAAUCUGAUCCUUUAAUUUUAUAGAGAAGAAUAAAAAAAUUCAAAGCUAAUUUAACUCUCAAGUUUUUAUUCUUUUUAUUCUUUUUUGGUCUUUUUUUUUCAGGAUGCGAGGUAACAGUGUGAUCAGAUUUCCAGUUACUAUAGAAAUUUAUUAUUAUUAUUAUUAUUAUUAUUAUUAUUAUUAUUUAGUCUAUUGUUUGCUCCUUUCUUUUGCUUUGGGGGAAAAUAAUAAUAACAAAUUAAAAAAAAAAUUUAAAUGAACAAAAACACGGACAGACAUUUUUCAGUCUAAGUUUUUUUUUUUUUUUUUUUUUUUUUUGAAGUCUAUCCAUUACUGUGUUCAUUCCGGCUCGAGUGAUUAAAUGCAAAUAAAAGAAUAUUUGAAAGUAAUUAUCAGUCGAUUGAGGAAGAAAAAGUCGAAUAAUAUCCCUCAGCUGACGGUAAUAGCAUGAGAUCAUUAAGUCUGAUCUUUUCCUCUUUAUAGAGAAGAAUAAAAAAAUUUCAAAGCAGUUGAAGUCUGAACUUUUUCCUUUCUUUUUUGUUUCUUUUUUUCAGGAUGUCAGUUAACAGUGUGAUGAGAUUUCCAGUCGUUUCAGACUAUUAUUUCUUCCCCCCUUUUUUCUCGUACAUCAAUAAGGUGGUAAUUAUGUCUUCAGUCAUUCCUCUGUUCUGAUCCUCCACUCCGGAGCGCUGCUGCCGUACACAGAAUGUUAAUGAGCGAGUUAUAAAAACACACACACUGAAGACAUCUGCAUCUCCGCAGCUUUUCAAUCCGCUCGCAACGUGUUUCAUCCAUAAUUAAACCGUACGAGGUUAAUAAAAGCGCCGAGUUUCCCCCUCUUCCUGUCGGAGGAUUUCUGUCACGCUGCAGGAAGUCACCGCGUUUCUGCUUCCUUUUCACCGCAACGAGACGACGCUGAACGCUGAACUGCCAAAAAAACCAGAAAGGAAAGAAAGGACCUUUUCAUUUCCUGGAAAAUGGACGGGGUUUUCAGACGGUCUCAUCCCGAAGGGAACGACUCGCCGGAAACCACAGCGUCUGGAAUCGAUUUGAGGGAAAGGGAAAAUAAAAUGCCUGGAAUUCUUACGCUUCUUACAGAGGAGGCGGAAAAAACGAAGCGCCACGGAUCAGCUGCUGAAACUGCUAACAUGGAACUCUCAUUUCUACACAAACUCUCAUUUCUACACAAACUCUCAUUUCUACACAAACUCUCAUUUCUACACAAACUCUUAUUUCUCAUUUCUACACAAACUCUUAUUUCUCAUUUCUACACAAACUGUCACUUCUCAUUUCUACACAAACUCUCAUUUCUACACAAACUCUCAUUUCUCAUUUCUACACAAACUCUCAUUUCUACAUAAACUCUCAUUUCUACACAAACUCUCAUUUCUACAUAAACUCUCAUUUCUACACAAACUCUAAUUUCUAUGCUGAACUUAACUCGCUAUACAAACAUAAUAAUAAUAAUAAUAAUAACUUAUUAUAUAAUACUAACACUAUUUCUACAGCCCUUUUAACAAUAGACAUUGUAACAAAGCAGCUUUAUUCUAUACUAACUCUAAUUUCUACACUGCUGAACCUAAUUUUAAUUUCUAUAAAUCUCUAUCUAAUUUCUAUACAGUUAACUCUACACUGCUAUCUCUAAUUUCUACAGUUCUGAACCUAACUCUGAUUACUACACUAAUUUCUAUACUACUAACUCCAGCUCUAAUUUCUACAGUUCUGAACCUAACUCUGAUUACUACACUAAUUUCUAUACUACUAACUCCAGCUCUAAUUUCUACAGUGCUGAACAUUACUUUAUUUUCUAUACAAAUACUAACUCUUAUUUCUACAUUGCUAAUUCUAACUCUGAUUCUAAGACCUUUAAAUCAAGCUCUAAGUUCUACACUGCUAACUGUAAAUCAGAUUUCUGUACAAAUGCUAUUUUCAAUUCCUAUAUUUUUAACUCUAACUCUAAUUACUACAGUGUGAAUUCAAACUUAAAUCUACACUGUUAACUCUAAUUUCUAUACUAACUCCAGUGUUCACACUCCCAACUCUAAUUUCUACAUUAACUCUAAUUUCUUUAGUGCUAACUAACUAUGCUUUCUACAUCGAUAACUAUCUCUCUAUUCUACUAACUCUAGCUUUAAUCUACACUGUUAACUGUAAUUUCUAUACUAAAUGAUUUCUAUAGUGUUAACUCUAACUCUAGUUUCUACACUUCUAUAGGAUUUUUGCCAUUCUUGAGGAGAGAAGGAAGAACGGCGAAGGAUCGGAGAAGGAUCAGCUGCUGAAUCAAGAGGGAGGAAAAAGCUUCUAUCCCUUUUGGUGGAAAAAGAGGAAAUGGAUUCAGUUUCAAAGGAAAAAGUUCCAUCUGUUGGGUGAAAACUGAAAACGGUAACACAAAGCUCCAAUACGUUAUUCAGGCGAAAGUAAAUCUCCUCGGGCCGCUCGGCUGAAUUUCAAAAUGAUCGGGAAGCGAACGGCUCACAGAUAAACGUCGCUUCAGUCGCGACACCUUUUUCAGCUCAGCCGUCCCCCUGGAGCAAAGCUCAAUCCUCUGAAUGGAUAAACACAAAAUUAGCACUCGUAAAAAAAGAUUUUAAAAAAGAGAAGGCAGGAAAAUACCGAGCUGAGGAAGUUCCCCGAGAAUUCAGUGGCUCGAUAAAUAAAUAAUGGACUCGUCUCCGGGUAUCAUCACAGAAUUUCUGAGGCAGAAUUUUGACACGCAUCGCUUCUCAUGUCUCUGUGCUCUAUAAACACUCUGACCUAUAAAUCACUCUGUUACUGAAAAGCUGAUGGGUUUCCUGACAUUUCUCCCGGCAUCGACAUCAUCAGCAUCAUAAUCUGCUUCUUCUGAAGCGUCUCCAGGAAUUUUCAGAGCCACAGCGCCGAUCCUGAUGGAGCGCGGCCGAGCCGAAACCCGGUCCGCGGCUGUUAAACAAACACAGACGAGGCCCGAGAUGGAGAAUAAACACGACGGGGAAAAGAGAAAAUCAGAAGCAGAGCACGGAGAAAGUCAGAGGCCAUUUCACUGCCGCCGGUUUCCUCCGGUCUGUGAUGAAGAGAGAAAGUGAUGAUACUGAAGAAGUCAAAUGUCAUUCAGGAAGCUGCUUUAGACCGUUUAUAAACUCGCUUCAGAUUCUCACGCUGUCGUUGAACCGCCAUCUCUGUUACUGAGUGACGCGGUGAUGAAGCAGAGUUACUGUUAUCACGCUCAUGUUAAUUAUUUUCCUAUAACAGCACGCCCCCGAGUGUUUUAUUUACUAACAAACAACACAGCAUACUUUUUAUCUGUUUACAGUUACAUUAAAUGUUGUGGAACGUCAGUGAAAUGAGUUAGUUCCUGUUGUCACUUAUGCUAUAAACAGUCGUUCCCUCACCAGCCUCUCUUUAUUCUCUCUCUUUCUUCUCUCUGUUGAAGUUAAUAAGACUGAAAAAAAAACUUAGCUUGUCAUGUUACCGAGAAACCGCAAAGAAGCGUAAACUCCUACAAAGUUACAAAGCACUGACACUGGAGACUCCUUCCCUAAACGUUAAAUAAACGUCUCUUUACAGAAAACGUCAUCACAUUAACAAUUUUUUUAAAUGUGCUGUACACGUCCCUGUGAAUGAGCUGUUACUAUAGAAACGAUAACGUAUCAGAACGAGUGCAUUAAUAUAAACCUGCGCUACUGUCAGAGCUGCUGUUAUAGAAAACUAAUCAACAGCUAACAAUAACUCAUUUCUACACUGCUAACUCAGAAUCGAACUCCUACAGAAAAUCUCAUUUUUAUCCUGAUAGCUCUAAUCAUAAUUCUGAUCUCUGUAUUAAUACUAGCUUUAAUUUUUAAAAUCAAACUUUAAUUUUUAUACUAAUGAUCAUUUCUAUACAACUAACGCCAACUCUAAUUCUACACUGCUAAAUCACACUUUUAUUUCUAUACAAAAACUAACUAAUUUCUAUCCUGCUAGAUCAAAUUUAAUUUCUGUACAAAUACUAGUUUUAAUUUCUAAACUCUAAAAGAACUUUAAUGUCUCUAUCAGUCUCUACACUGAUAACUCAAACUCUAAUUCUACACAAUUCUACGCUGCUUCUUCACUGCUUCACUUUUCAUUUCUAUACAAAAACUAACUAAUUUCUAUCCUGCUAGAUCUAAUUCUAAUUUCUAUAAAAGUACUGGUUCUAAUGUCUAAACUCUAAGAGAACUUCAAUUUCCAUAUCAAUCUCUACACUUUAAUUCUACACUGAUAACGCAAACUCUAAUUCUACACUACUAACUCGAACGUUAAUUUCUACACUAAUUUUAUUCUCUACUGCUAACUCUAAUUUCUAAACGAAAUAGUUUGUAUCUCUAACACUAACUAAAAUUUCUACAGUGCUAACUAUAAUUUCAGUAUUGUUAUUUCUAUGCUACUAACUUGAAUUUCUGUACUGCUAGUGUUAAAGUCUGACUCUAAUUUAUAAAAGAACGACCUCUAAAUUCUAAUUAACAGACUGAUAACUCUAAUGUCUACACUACAAACACUAGCUCUAAUUUCUACACGGCUAACACCAUUCCUUGAAUUUAAACAAAAUGAUGGUAAAACCAGUUUACUAACUGUCCUAAUGAAGAUCAACACCUGGUAUGAACUAUCAGGACUACCACCGUGACCAGGAUCCGACUUUAACCCUGAGCUGAACUGUUUACGAGUUCUUUAUGGCUCUCUCGGCCCUGUGAGGUCUCCCACGUGGUUCUAAGCAGCUGUUCUAAAUCACAGCUACAGCAGAGGAACCUAACCUAAAUGUUUGUCGUGCAAUAUCAGGCAGAAAAAACACCCCAGCAAAGACCUGUGGAACUUUGAGGCCUCCAGAGUCCAGAAUAGAAAUAAAAAAACUUAAAUGAAAGGAAAACUGCUACGCUAAGCAGCUUCUGAAGCAUUUCAAAGAGCAUCAGAGGAGACAAUUUGAAGUUCAAGCUCAGAGCUUAGAGCUCCUCUGAGACGACUAAAACAGGAAAUGCUUCAUCUCCAAUCAUCUCCCGGCCUCUGAAUCCAGCUCGCCGAACACACACUGCUGACUCCAACACUUACUCCGUCUCCCUUAAAACAUCCAGUGACAGCCAUCUACCAGCAGGGACGCUCAGAAACAACCGAGAACUGCUGAUUAGGUGUAAACGGCUCAAAACGCAGGCUGAAAACGAUAACGCCGUGACGCCAACAGGGAGUAAAUAACGGCAAGAUGGAGGAGAGGAAGUAAUAUAGUGUACGUUAUCAAUCUCCUCCGGUCGCUUCCGUGUCAUUAAUUAAGAAUAACCCUCCCGUCUGGGAGCAACAUGCCUGUUUGUGAAAUAUAUCCCAAUAUAUCACGGGUUCCACAGCAGCCAGUUAAUGAGUCACAUUGCCGAGUCAAUUAGGAGCGGCUCUUCGCCUGUGGGAGUCACUGUGGAGGAAAUUACCCAUCGCCUGCGCACAUACAUGACAUGAUUGUCUGGAUUAAUACCGAGCGACUUAAUGGAGAAAACUCUGACCCGUUAGAGCAGAUGAUGCUGGAAUUAAUGGAACCAGGACUAAAAUUCAAAAUGAAAUUUCUCUCUGCGGUCGAGAAUCGAGACGUGAAAAAAAAGCAAACGAAGCACUUUAAUUAGCAACGUUUAAAAAAAUGAGCCGCAAACAAGACGCACAGCGAUCCGGCCACACGAUGGAGAAAAUAACAGAAACGAUUGCCAAGUGAGUCUACAGGGGGCGGAGCUUAGUGUAAAAAUACACAGUGCGAUAAUGCAGCAAUGUUAACAAAGCUAGCGAGUGUUCUGUUUAACUUCCAUCAUUAAAUCUAAUAUUUAACAUCAAGCUGUAAAAGUGAAGAUGUCACAUGAUCUAGUAUAUAAUCGAAUGUAACUUAAGCUCCGCCCUUUUUCAGGUAAAUCCUUCAGAAUUAUUUGUAUACAUGCAGCAUUGCAUAAUGUGUUAUUAAGGUAUGUGUUGAUAUUUAGCACAAAUAAAAAAUAAUUAGCUCAAAAUAAUAACUUUAGACACCUAAACAAAAAUAGAAUGAAGGAGGACUGAUAAUAAUUAAACCAUUACCAAGUAAAAUGCUUGUUCAUGAUUGGUUGACGUAUUUACAGUAACGUACAUUCGAUAACUAUACUAAAAUCGCGCAGCUCUUGCUAAUUCAGAAUAAUUCAAUAAUUAAUUAGCAAAAGCUGCGUCUCAAAUGACACACUUUGCGUAAUUUUAGUGCACUGAACACCCUGAUGAUGUACAAAAAUCGUCUAAAAUUGUCAAAUUUGUCAAAAUCGACACACAGUACCAAGAGGUUACGUAGCUACAUUGCAAAAGGGGUGGAGUCACCAUGUGGUGGAAAGGUUGAGUAAGAACGUUACUAGGAAUGCUUACUUUUAAUGCACUUAAAACCCUGCUUAUGUAUAAAAUGAUUGAAAAGUGUAGAAUGUCACACUCUUUUUGUGCUACGCGGUCAUGUAGCUAUGUAGCAGAAGGGGCGGAGCUUCCAGAUGCCUGAGUGAGAUGCUGGUAUAGUGUGGAUACAAAAGCUUUAAAAAGGUUAGAUUGGACAUUUUUUAUUUAUAAAAGUGGUUCUUCCUGUAGGGGUUUGUGUAUAAUAUAUAGCGUAUAGCGCAUAUGGCGUAAUUUGAGACCUGGCUGUAGUUGUUUAAGCCCCUGAGGAACCGGCUUCACGCUGUGACACGUGACGUAUCUGAAAGCAUACCUCACGCUAACGCAUGUCUCACAGUCCUGUUCAUCAUGACAGCUUUGACCUUUUUAAGUCUCUGACAUUGAGGACGUACAGGACCUUAUCAUCAGCUCUGUCCCUUAGCUAGCCAUUUUCUCGAGCUAAUCUCCCAACACAGCGCUAUUUAUGCCACUGCUGUCUAUUUUUUGUUACGUAAUGACCUUUCUCGGUGCAGUAGUCGACCUCCCAGCUUUCACACACUCUACAUGUGCCUGAUGGGGAUUUUCACCCUGCGUUAACACACUCCGCCUUUUCACGAGCAGCUGGAAAGGAUGAAAAAGCUGCACAGGCUCCGAGGCCGGCUUUGACCCGAGCCGACCGGCGCUCCUGCUAUUCUUCCUGCAGCAAAAGCAGAAAUUAAGAAGAUAUUAAUUUGACGGAAAUUUGACAAAGAGAAGCGAGAACCAGGGCAAUCCUCUUUCUCAUUCUCACAAAGUGGAGAAAUGAGAUUGGUAAAGCCCUGCAGGGGAUUACAUUUGUUUUCAGUGUCUCCUUCUCAGAUUCCUUUUGGGAUUUAUGAACCAUGGUAAUCCUGCGGAAACCGAGUUUCACUUUCUUUCUUUCUUUCUUUCUUUCUGUCUUCGUUUAUACAUGACAUUUUUAUUCAGCAGAAGGGCUUUGCAUCUGGACAAUCUUCUUCAGAGUCACUCGGCUGCAGUUGAAUUUUAAUGCAGGGAAAAUAAAACUGUGGUGUUUCAGGAGCUAAUCACCAUUCUGAUCAAAAGUGGCGCAAAUAGCAAGGCGUCGCUCUGAGCUCCGAGCUGAAACGCUAUCGAUUCGUCAUCUCUGUUUAAUCAAAACUCCGGCUUUGCGAUCAAUAAGCGCCAGAGGAUCUGAAAUACAUUAACGCCAUAUCCAAAGUCCGAGAAAAUCCUUCUAGACAUGAGGAGGUGGCCUUAGUGACCCUGAUUUAGAUUUAGAGUCUGCGGAGCUAUUUAUAGCCUCAAAACACUAACUUCGUAAGGUGAAAAUAUGUCACUCGCCAUGGCAACCAGACCAUAAAUCUACCAUCAGCUUCCUCUAACCCGUAACCUCUAUCAAAACGCUGGGGGCUGAAAGUUUAGUCCGGGGUCCUGAAUGUGACUAGCAUGUCUUAUGCUAACACUGGAAACAACAAGCAGUCUUAAUAAAUAAGUCAAUCUCCAUGGCAACCAGACAAUAAAUCUGGCUUUUCAGCUGCGUAGCUCAAAAUAAACCCAUGAUCUCCACGUGAAAGCAUUUUGCAUGCGUUUGUGCAUGUGUGUGUGUGUGUGUGCAUGUGUGUGUGCGUGUGUGUGUGUGUGUUGUGCUAACACCACAGAGCUCCAGGUUAAACGCCUCGUAACAACACUCAUCUGCACAUGAAGAGGAACAAACCUCCAUAAAUGCCGGCUCCCUGUUGUGAUUUAUUCUACUUUAAGCUUAGGGUCAAAGGUCAACGCUCAGAGGGUGGGCUGGCUGAUGUGAACAAACAGCUUCCUCUGCUUCCUGUUUUCAUCUCUCUCAUCGCAGGCAGAUUUAAAAAUUUUAUUUUAAACCUUUUUUUCAUUAUUUAGACCUUUUUUUAUUAUUUUUUUAACAGAAAUGGUCACUGGUGCGGUCUCUUUAUCACCACACCUCAUCAGUGAACUUUUUUAUGAACAAAAAUAAAAAAUACAUGCAGGGUGAAGGUCAUUUUUUAUUCAUUUUCUGACUCUUUCUAAAGUCGGAUGUGGUUAUUAUUACUUUUUUUUCUGGUUGUAAUGAUGUAUUCCUUAAUUAAAGUUAAAGUCCACUCUGAAACACAUUAAAUAUGUUUAUAUUGGAA